ACCCUACAUUCCUUUUGAAUUCUAUUGUUUGGAUGUUGCCGUUAAUGUAAAUAUAUUUAAUUUGAUAGUUUAUUCUACAUGCAAGAACUAAGAAGAAAGAGGGGAAGAAAGAGCUAACAUAUAUUAAGCACCAGCUUUGGAUUAGAUGUUUUACAAGUGGCAUGUACUUUAAUCCUCGGCACAAUCCUAUGGUGGGUUUGAUUAUUCUUGUUUUAUAGAUAAGAGGAUCAGAGAGGUCACGGGUCCCACCUAAGUCCAUCCAGCUAGUAAAUUGCAUGCUGAGAUUUGGACCUAGGUCUAUUUGUUUGCGAUAAUCUUCUGUAAUAACCUAAAAUUGAACUUCUUGCUUAUCCUCCUGUUUGUUUUCUUUUGUCACAGAAAGUGCUCCAGGUGCCUGUGGUCCAUAGAGUGGAGUGAGUCUCUAAGCAAAUCUGGAGGGACUCUGGGAGCUGAAGAUUCAGAAUAUCUCCACUUAUUCUUGCCGCAGCCUUUGCUGCUCAACUGUUGGGUGCCAUGAUCGUAUGAGCUGCUCCCUUCCUCAGCCUUUCCUGGCUCCUUCCAUGAGCCCACUGAUCUGUGGCAGCAUUUUAACAGCCUUGGUCCAUCUAUUUGUAGAGAUGUUAGCAUGAGACACACAAGGAUCUGGAAACUUUGAAGGAGACUGAUACCACAAUGCAGGAACCCUUAAUGCAUCGGAGCAUCAGACUUUAAGUCAAUGAUUUGAACCCAGUUCUUCUUGGCUUCAAAGCCUUGGGGCACAAUCACUCCAUUGGACCACUAGGUACCUGCAACUCUCUGCUUUGGACUUCUCCUGAGCUGCAAACCCAGAUGAGGUCACCGAAAUACAGAGAAGUUCAUAAUUCAACUAAGUCUAUGCAGCUAAAAGGUGGCAGAACUACAAGUUGAACUUGGAACCUGACACAGGACAUUGCUUUGCAGGAUUCACAUUUGCCACCACCUCACAGGUAUAAGGGGACAUGAUAUCUAAGUUUAAUUACUAGGCCCAAUUCUUCACCCUUCCCUGCAUCCGUGCCUCUUGCAAUGUAACUUAGCAGGGCUCUCCCGCUAUAGGUAGGUGUGGUUCUCAACCCUUUGAUUUGGGGCUCUGUCAUGUGACUCACUUUGGCUAAUAGAAAAAGACAAAGUGAUGGUGUGCCAGCCCUGAGUUCAAGCCUCAAGAGCCUUUGUGUGUCUUUCUUCUCCUUUGUGCUGCUGCCAUUGGUAGGAGAAAAGCAUGCCUGGGCUAGCCUGCUGGCCCCCAAAGGUAGAAGGAUGAGUGAGAUCCUUCUCUGUGGAUGUACAGCUGAGCUAUAUCCCAGCUAGGUUGCUUCUACCAGGACAUUCUAGAGUCAGGUCUAGAGGUGAUCCACUGCUCCUCCUACCUCCACUGGCCACAGGUGGAUGAGGGACCCCAGCUGAGAUCAGCCAAACUCCAGCUGAUCCCCCAGACCAGUGACAAAUAGAUGUUGAGGUUUUGUGGUGGACUUUUUCUCAGCAAUAGCUAACUGAUACUCGUGGCAACUGUGAAAAGAGCAGUUUUUGAAUCAAACAUGCUUUUAAAUCACACUUGUACCAGUUAUUAACUGUGCAAUCCUGAACAAGUUACUCAAACUCUUUGAACUUCAACAUUCUCAUCACAACGGGGAUAAUAACAUCUACUACUAGAGACAUUGUACUAAUGAGAUAAGCAGAAGCAUUGACUAUGGUGUCUGGCACAGAAUGUGUGCUUAAUAACCAUGGGUGUCCUCAUUGUCCCAAUUGCUCUUAUCACUCUGCAUGUAGUGCUUAUCACUAAGCAUUUCAUGUAUAUCCAUGUUCAUAGACUGUGGGAUGGGCUCUAUGCACAGUGAAUGAGGUUAAUGGUCACUAUCAAGGUCACAUGGAGCUUGGUGGCAGUGGCCCAAAGAGGAACUAUGUCUGGAAAGUCUUGAUAAGAGGGGCUAGGAAAGGAUCUGGCCAGGCAGACCCUGGGGCCAAAGCAGAAAGCACUCUAGGGCCAUGGCAAGACUGAAGUUUCUCUGGAUACUGGGGCAUGGACCUGCAUUUUGGGCAGAGAUUUAGAUGAUUUGGGAGAAAAGACAAUCAUUGGAACUGGAGUAUCAACUCUGUAUCACAAUCUAUUGACACAAUAAUGCCAUGUGACAAAUCACCUUACAACUGUGGUUGAAAACAAGAAACAUUGAUUAUGGACCAUGAAUCUGCUGGUCACCUGGGAGGUUCUUCUGCUUUCAGAUGGGCUCAUGUAGUUUCUGCAGUCAUCUAUGUGCUUGGUAGGAAAUCUGUGGAUUGUGGAAGGGCUCUCUCUUUCAGCUUAGUGGGCUGUAGGCUGUCUUCUCAUCUGCAGCAGGCUAGUUUGGGUGUGGUCCCACGCUACUUGGGCAUGUUCUCAUGGUGUGACAGAGGUGUGAGAGGGAGGGAAGUGGGGGACAGAGAAAGAGAGAGGAGACAGAGAGAGAGAGAGAGUGAGAGCGCACAGAAGUGGAUAAAUCCUCUUUAGGCCUAGGCUUCUAUCACAUUCUGUUUGCCAAAGCAAUUCACACAGCCAGCCCAGAUUCAAGGAGGUAAGAAAAAUGGACACCAUCUUUAGAUCUGUGUGUGUGUGUGUGUGUGUGUGUGUGUGUGUGUGUGGUCGGGUGGUGGGGAUUUCAGUAUCCCGUUGCAAAGGGCAUAGAUACAGGAAGGCCUUUAUUUGGGGGCAUCACUACAAUCAACCUACCAUAGCUCAUACCUGGAAUGGCCCAGUUACUAGGUGUAGGGAUUGAGGUCACAAUAGGAACAGCGGCCAGAAUCAUUGAUUUUGGGUUACCAACUGCUGGCCUAGGCUCAUAAAUUUCCCGUGAUCAGGUCUAGGAUUGGUAAAGAGCUGGGAGAAGAUAGACAUUCUGAGUUGAAGGCAUUGGGCAAUGUGGGGGGUAGAGUCAGGCGUGUUGAUAUUCAAGUAGAGCAGGAACCACAAGGAAAUAAAGUGUUAGCAAUGGCGUGUAGGCAGCUGGGGGACAGUUUUUGUGUGAUGAGAAUUGUCUGCCAGCAAAACUGUGUGGUGGGAUAUGGAAUAGCAUUAUAAACCCCCUUGCCCCACUCUACCAAUUAACUUGCAACAGAAUCUAUGUGAGAAGUAGGUUUCCUUUUGAGAAUAUGAAAGGAAUACAUGAGAAUCAAGAAAAAUUGGUCUAAAUCAGAAACAUUGAAAAACAAAAUAAAACAAAUCAUUCAGUUUAAUCAGCCAAAGACAAUCACUGUUAACACCCAAAUACUUUUCUCUAACCACCUUUUUUCUCCUGCAUACAUAUAUGUUUAUACAUGUUACACCCAUUAUAAAUAAGCAUUUAAAAAGCUACAGUCUUCAAGGGGAUUUGCUUUUAUGUUCUGUUUGUUUUUGCAGCUUUAGAGAACAUAAUCUUGACUAAAAUAA